GGCACACCCCCAUCAAAGAGAGGAACGCUUAAAUCACCCAGAACAUUCCACUGUACCCUGCCAUCCAGUCAGUCUUCAGACAUCCCCACAGGCAACCUCAGUUUAUAUUUUUUUCAGUAUUCAUUGGUAUUGGCAGCUCUUCAAGUGACUGGCUCACAGGAUCUGGGUGGCAGCCUGAAUGCAAACUCUGAGCCCCUUGCAAGUCCUUCUUCAGAGGUGCCUGGUGUGAGACAGUAAACCAUGCCAUGAAGCUUGCUAAGGUAGCGCUGGUCUGAUAUCCAGAGACUUGGUGAGUACAUACCUGAGACAUGUGACUCCCCACUCCCUGUCAAUUCCUGACCUGUACCAUGUGCCACAUUCCCCACAUAAGGAAAUGUGACCUGUGGUCAUGUAGGCCCAGAGCAGAGUUCUCCGUUCUAAUGAGGUACCUAGAGGCCCUGGGGGUUUAGCCAAUAAGCUUUCCUUCCCAGACAUUCCUCCCUGCAAAAGGUAUUUAGUCUUGGGUUCAUCCGGAGAAAUUGGUAUAGUACAGUAUGCAUCCAUUUUCCACAAUGAACGAUCAUCAAUACACCAGCUGAGAGUCAUGGACUGUCUCUUUCAUCAAGAUCCGCUAUGGAGAGCCAUGGGGAAGGCAUUAGACUACUGAGCCACAGCCAAACUAAGGACACUCACCUCUGAGCUAAGCCAGAGCUCCUCUUCCCUUCCCUCCCCCCAACCACCCAGCCUGCACCCCUCCCCCUUGAUUUCAUUCACAGCUCUCCCAUGACUCCCUGUGCCACCUAGAUAUCCAAGAGUCUGAGAACCACCUCGGCCCCACCUCGUUUCAGGCCCGGGAACCCUCAAUACUUCAUUCCUGACUUCUCAGUGUGGUUGAGUGGAGACUGGGGAACUGAAAACCAGUAAAUACUAGCUUUGGCUUUCCUACAUCUCAGACUGCAUUUCCCUACCCCUGGAGCAGUGACUUUGUACUGUCCUGAAGCCUAGCACUUGCCCAGUAGCAACAUGGGGUAAGUGCAGUCAAAUUCCCUGAGUGUCACCUCUUUCUCGAGUGGCUGUGCCCUGAGGCAGGUAGUAUGCAGACCAAUAGUCUAGUUCAUUGGUCACCAUUAUUAUGAACCAAGAAAUCCUUCAUUCCCUAAAGAAGGCAUUCCAUCUUCUUUGUGUCAUAUUAAGUAACCAUAAUUCUAUCAGCAAAACACAGUGUUUCAUCAAAUGCAAGUUCCUCCAGCCCUCAUCCUUCCCCAAUGACUUUAACACUUUCCCUUAGACUCAUACAGGUCUGCUCAUAGGCCCCUUGGC
rnacentral:lncRNA from 1 species